GCAAGGGGACAGUUUCCAUGGAAAUACAAAGUAGCUGUAAACAUAGAGGGGGAAGUGAAGCAGGAAGUGGCUGACCCUGAUGACGCAGUUGAUGUCUUUUGAGAGGACGGGCAUGCAAAUUUGACACGUUUCUACCAUGUGCUUUUCAAUGCUGCAUGUAAAUUUUGCAGGUGCACAAAACAAAACAGUAUUUGAUUAGAUUUUAUGUUGGUGGUGGCACGUAAGUUACCAUUAUCACCGAACAUAACUUUAAUCAUGCCGCUCCAAAAUUGUUAUUUCCCCUUUAUCAAAAGCACAUGCAUUUCAACGUGUUUAAAAUGAGCCACUCCACCCUCAGCUUCAGUUUCCUCUGUCAAACCACAGUAGGACACACAUUUUUGCAUCAGCCGUUACUAUUGCAGUCAUUGGCUGCUAGGGUAACACGAGUCACAAAGAUCGGCAAAGAUUACUGGCUGUCCAAGAUGUCAUGCCACCACUCCCCAAACCCCACACCCACAUUACCACUGCGAACUAAAAGUAAAACAUUAUGUCAUACUUCUGCAUGAGAUAUUUUAGACAUUAUUGCCUGAUGUGUUUUCAGUGGGAUGCUGGUACAGCAAAUUCAUUCAUUUUAUUUUUUUUACACCAGCCACUCACAAUGCCCAUUUAUUGACCUUCCUGGGCAGGGCUCCCAGAGAAAACGGCUAAAUAAACAGGCAGGUUUCCAUGCAUGUGCAGCAGUUAAGCUGGCAGGACGCAAGGGUUCCAGAGGUGGGACGACCGCUGACAAGAUUAGUGGCAUCACGCCGGCACGGCAGUGUGGAGAGAGGGGCAGGAAGGAGCUUUUCCAGACUGCUGACCAAACCUUAUCCGCUGACGGCAACCGGUUGGUGGGGACGGUGUGGCCCUUCCUUCCCCCUCUGAUGGGAAACAUGGAGCACGAACGGGAAACACCCACGGGAAGAGAAACUCUGGGAAGCUGUCAAAGCGAUGAAGAUCUCACGCUGACAGCGUGGUGAACUUCUUCGCGAGCCGGUCCGUCCAAUUCCAGCCUGAGUGCUGCUCAUUAGGGCACGUCUGCGCAGGCAGCCGGGGGACGUGGCAGCACCCGGUCCACCCCGACGCAGGCAUCCAGCGGGGCAUCUGGCAAGGCUACACUUCAGGUCAGUCUAUCUGAGAAGGGAGCGCAUCAGCGGCCACUUCAUGGAUGGCACGCUGUCUGCGGCUGACAGCUUGUCAUUUAUCACAGCUGAACAGUGGCGUCAGGUGGGAUCAUGAUUAAUUUCACUUUACCACUUUCAGAAAUAAGCCCUAUAAAUCAUCUUAAGCUCUGUGUGCAAGUUUUGUUGUAGCCACAUGACAAAUCUUCACCACAUCCCGCUCCGCCUCAGCGGCCUACAAUGGGUCCUGCCACACGGCUCACAAAACCCAGCCAGCGAUGGCCAGGAAGGAGAGUGACAUUUCAUAAAUACCCCGAAGGAUUAUUAAAACAAGACAGCUCCGGUUAGAGCCCACGGCGACAACUGAAGAAACCACAUCGUCCAUUUGUAAAGAUAAAUGCCUAGCAGUCUUUCUUCACUGUCUAUCUGUUUGUUACUGAACGUUUUUAGCUUUAGCUUUAUUUCGCCUUGUCCUUACACAUGCUAAUGAUAUAGACGUGCCAUUGAGAUGUAAAACAGACUUUAAUCAAAUGUGGGUGGAGAAAAAGCACUCUUCGUAAGUCAAGAGUUAACACGAUGUCUUUGGCAGCACAGGUGGCGGCAUGCCAAUCCAUCAGUCUGCUUAUUAACAGUUUUUCUAUCACUUUAUUUAGAUGUCUUGGACUAUGAGCUAAAAUUGUGCUCUGCUUUCACAGGGGGAGUGCUCCAGUCAUUUAAAAAGCAUGUAAUUGAUGCCCAUGUUCACAUCUAAAGUUAUCAUCUUCCGCUGAGAUGCUGUUUUUUUUUUUUUUCCAGCUUUGGAUCCCAGGCUACUUAAUUAAGUGAUGACUUCCAAAUUUAAAUUAGAUCGCUUGAAAUGCAUGGCAUUUUUUUCUCUUUAAAAAUGUCUGUCAAGGAACCGAUUCACUCAGGAAUAUAUUCGGUAGCCAAGCGUGAUCCUAUCCCUUAAUCUAUUGUCCACCGCCUCCAUAUCUCUUUUCCGGAUGGCGGGUAAUACUUCAGGACGGAUGCCCUACAUGCUAGAGUAAUGUGACACUUAAACGAUUUCCUCAUAAGGCAGGGUGACAGAUAGCGGAGGGUAAACAGCUGCUGCAUGUUACAUUUUCUGUCCGCUCUGCCUGCAUUUCAAUGGCUACACUUUGCUCCAAUUUAUUCCCAUCUCGGAGAUAUAGACUGUUUCCAACUGUGCCUAAAUCCAUAUUCCCCAAUAACACAGUAUGCACUUCCCUGGUGAACUCGACAAAUGCCACACAAUCAGGGCUGCCCAGCUGCUAAGCUCUGCCCCACAACACUUUGCUCAGGCACAGAGGCAAGUGAAGCUAAUCGAUUCCAAGGCUGUGCCUCUCAACCAAAUGUAGUCCUGUUUCUAGGACGUACUCUCUGAAAAGGAACUCGAAACUCAAAAUUACACACAUCACAUGGAAAGAAGGGGAAAAUAAAAAUGCUAGAUGAGAAAAAAAUGUUUUUCUUCUUCUUCUUUCCACUCGAGAAUAAAGGCAGAAAACAUUUUGUAUGCAACAGAGGUAGGGUUUUUUGAGCACUUUGUAUAAUUUUCUAUUAAAGGGAAAAAGUUUGCAUGGCUAAAUACUAUAUGGUUGCUAGUGUUUUCAUGACACUUUAAUUUCUAACUUGCAAUACCUUAAAGGAAAAAAAAACCUAUAUUCUAUACUACUUUCAAUACCUGCCACAACAUAAAAUAUAGCAAAAAAAAAAAAAAUAUUGAGCUUCCUCAGGCAUGAUAGUCUUCAUUAAUAAUAAAAAUCAUUUUCUUUCUUUCUUUUUUUUUUUUUAAUGACUUUCCAAUAGCAAAAUUCUAAUAAUUAUAACCCAAGUUUUCCCCUUAAAAAGAAUUAAACCCUCAAUCUUUUAUUUUGCUGGAAAAACGUAGGGAGACAUUUAAGUAUUUGUGACAACGCUCAUUUCACAUAUGCAUAAAAUGUGUGAAAUGCUGUAAUCAUCCAUCCACAAAAAUGUUGGAUUUUACGCAAAAGUGAAAAAGCAUAACAGAAAGCAUGUUCCAUUCCCAAAUACAUCCCAACUCAAAGCACAUGCAGAGAUGGAGUUGCAUUUACAGAGUUGUUCUGAGAUACUGAAAACACUGUAUCAUGAGCUGCAGAUGUAAAUGAGCACAGUGAUGCGCUUUGCUCUGAAAAAUCCAGAACAACAGACCAUAUGCUUCAUUAAAAUACACGGUGGAAUAAACUUGCUGUCGAAGAGAAGAGAGAAUGAGAGAGCACAGUGUGUCGAUACUGUGGAAAAAAAAUUCAAAUAUCGAAACCAUUUUAAAUAUUCUGAAUAAAUGGGUUAUAUAAUCAACAUUUUUGAGACAACCAAUGGCUGCUAUAGGAUAUUUAUAUUCUCAUUGAAGUAUUCUUGUUCUGAAGUUUUAAUUGGCUGCAAUAAAUAAAUAAUUUGCGCUCCACCUCAGCAGAUGUGCACUACAGUGUUUCAUAAUAUUUGCCGUGCAGGUAUUUGGUAGGUGUCAGUGAUGGUACCUCUCAAAGUCUCCCUGAAAGUAGUAAACAAACACAAUGAAAAAAAUAAAUAUUUCAGAACUUCAUCAUUGUGACCUGUUUUCUAUAUUGCACAAACACCUCUCCUCACAGAAGCUCCCGAGACGCCGUCAUUUAUAGCUUUGAGCUACAGUAACUGCGAGAUAUGAUUGCUUUGAGCACUUCUCAUGCGCAGAACUUUCAGCCGGUGCAAAUGAAACUAAUUUGACUGGGGAAAGGGUGCCUUAAUGCAUUUUGAGUGCUUUUCGCAGGCUCUGCAUUUGUAUGGGUGUUUCGCACAGGCGCGUGCACUGCUGUUGUUGCUCGGUUGGGAGGGCCAGGCUUGGAUUGUCAUCGCCACAGGCAGAGGGCCAACUGCAGUAUCAGGGUACUGGGAGGGUAUCCCAUAAAAAUGCAUGGCCACAUGCUGCUUCCAAAGGCUUUUCAUCUUCCCUCUGUCUGCCGAGCCCCAAACACCUGGAGCACAAGGGGAGAACGGAGUGCAUGUGUGUGCACAAGGAGGGAUAUGCACACACACAGGGAUGCGUGGGCUUUGUCCGCCCGUCUGCCGGUCAGCUCUCUGACUGCUUAUUAAUUUAGAAGCGUUUGCGGUGUCUAGGGACAGAGAGAUAAAUGCCAGCAGCAGAGGCAGGCCGGCGGUGAACUCAUAAAACCUAUUAAAGGAAGCUGUUCAUCACCUCCAUCAGCAAGCCUGAUUAUGGCCAGGGCCAGCUGUAAACCUCCACAGCCCUCAGCGGAGCCCCAGACACACCACUCACUCUGCUAGCAGCCCUCGAAGCCACGAUGCCCACCCAGCGGCUCCCAUUACGGUGAGGGAUGAGAUGGCGAUCCCAACUACGUAUGGGAUUUAUCGACAGACGCAAGCGUGGUGCUGUAGCUUCAAAUGCCAGUCACUGCGGUAUUAGCGUUUCGCUUCACAAUUGCAUUUUGUGCAUGUGUCAACGGUGUUGUAUUAUCAUACAAAUAUUUGCGAGAUGAACAUUUAUUAAAAAAAGACUCUUGCUGCCUCUUGCGGUUGCCACAAAUACAAGAUAAAGAUAAACUCAUCACCCUCCAUCAGAUUUCCCCUCGGUUUUGCUUGUAUCAGCAAGCGAGCGCACCAGCCAGGACGCUACUGUAUGUAGUUUUGUUCUAUUAGGAGGUUACAUUUGCAGCGCCCCCCUCCCCUCCUGUGAUUUCGCUUAUUUGUGUCUUUACGCAUCACAAGCGCCGUUUAGAAGCUCCUGCCCGCAGAGAGCAGGGAAACGGCGUGCCAAGGCAUCAGUCAAAGACCGAACCUACUUUACAAUCAAACAUUAUGAACUGCUGUUGGAAUUAGGACAGCUUCCAGGGAACUAGGGGACACAAAAUUAUCCAAAUCCCAUUAAUCUUUUUUGAGAGAGAUGCUGACAUUUUGUAGUCUAAUUAAAAAUGCCACACAAUGAAUUUUCCAAUGGUAACAAUAAUUAGCAAUUGUCUAGGGACGAGAAAAGGGGACACAAAUGCAAUGGCUACGCCGUAUAUGUGCUUGGCUUUUUGCUUAUCGCAGUCAGAUGGGGGAAACGGGUGGUAAAGGGCUCUUUGAUGCAUUGUAGUUCCGCAUGUUAUUAUGGUCACACAUUCUCUGAACUUCAAUUAAUUAAGUAGCGCAAAAUGCCACUGCACGCUGCGAAUAAUUUAGAUUAAUGCACCCAUUAAAUUAUGUGUUGCUAUCAUAAUCAGCCAUUUCCAAGGAAAAUUUCCCUAGUGAUUAUUAUUAUAUUAUAUUUAUUAUAUUAUAUAUGAUCGUGCCAUUGCUAGCACCAUGCUGGACUGUUUAUAUAACAUGCUAAAUGCAUAAAUGUACAGUUGCAAACGUAAUGCAACAUAAUACAUCCAGUUCUAAAUUCUUAUUCUGAAUAGGGCCUAUAUCUAUAUUAUGUUAAGUAACGCAUUAUUUUACAGUGUGCUUGUUACGUGUUACAUGUACUAUAUAGUAAUAUGCAUUAUAGUUAUAACGAUAACACUUAAGAAUAUGAACACAUAUUCACUAUUAACAAAGAGUUU
rnacentral:lncRNA from 12 species